UUUAAAAAGAUAAGCUAAAUUUAA
rnacentral:tRNA from 1 species